rnacentral:rRNA from 1 species
GAUGAACGCUGGCGGCAUGCCUUACACAUGCAAGUCGAACGGCAGCAUGACCUACCUGGCUAGGUUGAGUGCGAGGGGCGAGCGGGUGAGUAAUGCAUCUAAACGUGCCUUUUAGCGGGGGAAAACGUAGCGAAAGUGACGCUAAUACCGCAAAUUUACUGAGGAGGAAAGCAGGGGACCGUAGGGCGGUUCGCUAGAAGAGCGGCCGUCGCCGCAUUAGCUAGUUGGUGAGGUAAAGGCUCACCAAGGCAACGGUCCGUAGCGGGUCUGAGAGGGUGAUCCGCCACACUGGAACUGAGACACGGCCCAGACUCCUACGGGAGGCAGCAGUGGGGAAUCUUGCGCAAUGGGCGCAAGCCUGAUCCAGCCACGCCGCGUGAGUGAAGAAGGCCUUCGGGUCGUAAAGCUCUUUCGGCUGGGAAGAACACGCGCCUACUUAACCAGGCUCUGGAUGACGGUACCAGAACAGGAAGCCCCGGCUAACUACGUG